rnacentral:rRNA from 1 species
AUGAACGCUGGCGGCGUGCCUAAUACAUGCAAGUCGAGCGAACAGACGAGGAGCUUGCUCCUCUGACGUUAGCGGCGGGCGGGUGAGUAACACGUGGAUAACCUACCUAUAAGACUGGGAUAACUUCGGGAAACCGGAGCUAAUACCGGAUAAUAUAUUGAACCGCAUGGUUCAAUAGUGAAAGACGGUUUUGCUGUCACUUAUAGAUGGAUCCGCGCCGCAUUAGCUAGUUGGUAAGGUAACGGCUUACCAAGGCAACGAUGCGUAGCCGACCUGAGAGGGUGAUCGGCCAAACUGGAACUGAGACACGGUCCAGACUCCUACGGGAGGCAGCAGUAGGGAAUCUUCCGCAAUGGGCGAAAGCCUGACGGAGCAACGCCGCGUGAGUGAUGAAGGUCUUCGGAUCGUAAAACUCUGUUAUUAGGGAAGAACAAAUGUGUAAGUAACUAUGCACGUCUUGACGGUACCUAAUCAGAAAGCCACGGCUAACUACGUG